rnacentral:tRNA from 8 species
GCGGACGUGGCGAAAUCGGUAGACGCAGCGGACUUAAAAUCCGCCUUCCCCUGGAAUUGCGGGUUCAAGUCCCGCCGUCCGCACCA